rnacentral:rRNA from 1 species
UACGUGGGGGGCUAGCGUUGUCCGGAAUCAUUGGGCGUAAAGCGCGUGUAGGCGGUCCGGUAAGUCCGCUGUGAAAGUCGAGGGCUCAACCCUCGAAUGCCGGUGGAUACUGUCGGGCUUGAGUACGGGAGAGGCGAGUGGAAUUCCUGGUGUAGCGGUGAAAUGCGCAGAUAUCAGGAAGAACACCCGUGGCGAAAGCGGCUCUCUGGAACGGUACUGACGCUGAGACGCGAAAGCGUGGGGAGCGAACAGG